rnacentral:rRNA from 1 species
AUGAGCACGAGGCCAUGGCGGCAGCUGAGCAUCUGGCUGCCUUCCUUACCCUUCAUGUUGAAGCGCUUGGUGGGGAAGCGAUUGGGGGCGCCCAUAAGCGACCCGAAGCCGAGGAGGCGGCGGACCUCGUCCGCAACGAAGAAACCGACGAGGGGAGGGUUGGGGCGGUGGUGGAGGCGGAAGCGGCGGAAGAAGUCGGGGUCGGAGAUGAGGCGGCGCCAGCGCGUGCAGACGGCGGAGGCAAGGGGGAGGGAGGACGGAAGUGGAGAGAGGCGGAGGAGGAUCUUGAGCAGAUCUUCCUCUUCCAGCGACAGCGGCGGCGGCGCCGGCGUCGACGGCGGGGGAGGCGGCGGCCCGUCAUCUCAAUCUCCUGACGCCUCAUGCGGGGAAGGGGAAUGGAAAUGGUGUGGACUGGAGUCUGACUCUGGUCGAAGGCCACGAUGUGUGUGA